AGGCUGCAGCAUUGGACUGUACUGACGGAAAUUGAUGCUGUAACAUCUGUAUAACUUCUGGAAGCUCUGGAUCUCGCCAUCCAAACUCUCUGGGAUCUUUCUGAAUGCUAUCAAUGGAAGGUGACCUAGCCAAGGUCCCCUCAGGUGGGAUGGCUGGCCCAGAUUUGCUGUAUGGUGAUUCAACAGAAGGACAAUACUGCAGCUGUCGGUAGGGGUCUGCGUAAUUGGAGGCUGGGCCUGCAGCAUAGCUG
rnacentral:lncRNA from 1 species